CGCGCACACAACUCUGAGAGCCCAGCCCACCCUGGCUCUCCUGUCCCCUCCGCAACCCCCUUCUCCUCAUAGGGUUUCUCGAGUGGAGGGCAUCGCACCGCCGCCGGCCAUCCCUCCUCUGCCCCCGCCCACCUCCGCGCUUCUCGCCGUACCGCGCAUCCGCUCGCCAGUCCCGAUUCUCCUUUAUCGUGAUGCCGGAAGCCAUCGCCGCACACCGACCACGAAGCCGGUGCCCAAUCCACUCGCUCCGACCUCGACAGCGCCGCCGGACACCGUUGCUUGACCCCGUCACCCGUACCUUGACUGACUCACCGGAAGAAGCCGCUCGACCCCUACCCCGUCGCCCCUACAACAAUGAUUGCUCCCUCCCUAUCGACCCUGACGCCGCUGCUUCACCCCUACCUUGACCUCGCAUCCGGACGUCGUGGCUCUACCUCGAUGAGCUUUUGUAUGCCUUGUGGAUUGUUGCUGGUAGGACUGAAUUGUUGCUGCUGUGAAUAUUUGCUAAUUCAACAUGUAUACGAGUUGGUAUCGACUAUACAAUCUGCUAGUGUGUGGUAAUUGUAAUGUAAGAUUGUUGAUUUCAAUGUGUGCAUAGAUGGUCUCAAAGAUGCAUUUUUUGUGAUUGUUAAUGUGUGUGGUAGCGAACAACCUUCUGGUUUCCAGUAGCAGCUCUUGUCAAGAUGGUUGGUUGCUGAGAUUGUCUGUUGUGGGAAGGCAGCCGACGCCGGCCGCUAAGAAGGCGACGUCGAGGAGCUGCAAGGUCGGGCUGUAGUUCCCUGUUGGUAGGAUUGCUAGAUUCCUCAAGGUCGGCAAGCACGCCGAGCGCGUCAGGGCCUGCGCCCCCAUCUACCUCGCCGCCGUCCACGAGUACCUCGGUGCUGAGGACCCAGCUGGCUGGCAACGCUGCCAAGGACAACAAGAAGACCAGUAUCGUGCCCCGCCACAUCCAGCUCACCCUGCGAAAUGAUGAGGAGUUAUCUCAUGUUGGUUGUAGGGAACACAAGACAAUCAGGAGCUUUGGAGCAAGUCCGUCCAUGUCGGACCCUUUUCAUUUAUUUUGCGAAUUCCUUUGUAUUUAUUCAUGAGCCUACUUAUGCUACUAUUCUUGUCCGAAAUUCCUUUUCUGUUUGCAUGAUCGGAGCCAUGAGGAUUGCUAUUCCGUAAGCAGAAGCAUACUCCCAGACGACAACUUGCCUGAAUGAGCUGAUGAUGGUUUCUUGGAAAUAUAUAGACCCAUAUAUAGUUUAUAUAGACCAUAACAUGGGUUAAUUGGUCAGGAGGGGGCCAACAUCCAGCAAGAUACGGUGUUGCAAAAUGAAUGUGGGGUUUGUAUAGCUAAUCAGGUCAGUGUGGUGUAUUACCCUCUGCUAUUCAUAUCUUCUUUUUUUGUUGCAAUUCUGACGUCCUGAUUAUGUUGCUUAGUUGUGAUAGAUUUCCAUUCACUUGGGCUCUAGAUAUCCAGAAACCUGUGAUGAAAGAUGUUGCUUGAAUGGUCAAUCCAUCGCUGGCUAUCUUUUAGACUUACUACACUUCUUGCAUUAUCUUCUUCAGUAAAAAAAUAUUAUAUGCUAGGAAACAAGCUUCAAAUAUAAUUUAGAACAGACCUGAAUACAUUAUUAGUCCUAUAGUUAAUUAGUAUAACUAUGGCACCACCUAGCUUGCUAUUUUUGACCUUCAAGCCAUCCAUUAGUCCUAUGUCGCUGCCCCAAUGCACUUGCUUCUUAGUACUGUAUUUUGCCUACCAUCCUAUCAAUUGUUUUGGACAAUGUCUCUACUUACUGAUGAGACAUCUUUCCAUAUUUAUCUGAACCAUGUAAGCCACACCAAAGAUGUAUUCUGACAAAUCCAUCUUAAUCAGCACUAUGUCUAUCUGGCUCUAGCUUGCUGUCUAUGUCAGGUUUGACUUCAAUAUCCUUAAUGAUCCAACCCUUAGCUGAUUCUUCCACGGUUGAUAUUAUUUAUAUAGUAGUAUGAAAUUUUUAUGCAAGUAAGCGUAUUUACAUAGUAUAUGUAUGUGUAAUCAGUUUUAUGUCAUUUUAAUACCCGCUUCACCUGUCAAGAGAGGGGAAAAGAUAUCUAUCUUCACCGCCAGUCCAUGGUCCUCGAGUGUUUGUACUAAAGUUACUUACGGAGAAGCUUCUCUGUAUUGUGUAGCUUUUCUUUUAUCAUUGUGUAUGUGCAGAUAAUCUUUUUUACAACAAUGUGUGCUAGAUGAAGAUUAUGAGCAUUUCCUGUAUAGGGUAUACUGUUGUUCGGAAGGCUGUACUCAUAGCAACAGUAUGAUGGUCUUUUUUCCCCACCCCAAGUAUGUGAUGAUUGGUUCGUCUUCUUGCCUGCAUUGUUACCAAGCUAACGGAGGAAUUUCCUGGAAUCUGCUGGUACCUGUGCUUACAGGGUUUACAUGCAUAUUGUGAAGUUGAACAAGGCAGAGAUAGUAUCAACUUCAGACCAUCCCUUUUCAACCUCAAAUUGAUGAGUGUGUUCUUAUUUCAUUGUUACUUGAGACUGCAGCAGAGGACCUGUUUCCAGAGAGUAUCAUGUAUGCAAGCCAGUAGAAUAUGAAGAUUUACUUGCAUCCUUACAUUAACUAUUUCAUUUUUGUUUAUUCAUCCCUAUAGCUGGGUGCAAAACCGCAAGUAUGCCAACUGCCUUUCAGUGUUUAAGGUUAUUAUUGUCAUUCGUUCACCGAGUGAAAGAUUUGUUU